GUAAUUUUGCUUACUCAGUAUUUCUUGAUGUCACUAAAGCAAUGGACACAACUGACCAUUUCAUGCACUUUAAGAAAGCUUUAGUUAAUCAUAAUUAGUGGCCCUCCUCCUCUGCUUUUCGAGAGUAAGUUAGCCGAAUUCAAAUUGUCAGCAUGUGCGAUGCUGUCUCAUGUAUGAGAACCUCUCAUUUAGUGUGCCUGAAGGGUCUAUUCUUAGACCUCUUUUUAAUUUAUAUAAGCCAUGUGCCUAACUCUUAAUUACUCACAGUUUAUAUUAUAUACCGGUGAAUCGAUGACAUUGAAUUCUGCCAAUUGCAUUUAAUCAUUAGGGUCUCAACUGAACUCCAAUAUUAUGAUAUUCCAAACGUUCAAGAAUGGUGCAAUAAAAAAUUGACUCGCCAUCCCAGCCCUGCGAGAGAACUACUCAGAACUACUAGCAUGCUCACUGUACCUGAGAUAAUUGACUAUAAUUUGGGCAUCCUGUAAGCUAAUUGGCAAUCGGCUCCCAUUAUACCUAAUUUCAGAACCAUCUUUACUGAAUGCUAACAUUACAAGAUUUGCAUCUAACAAAAUGUUUUUCCUGCCCAAAGUGAACCCUAGUCAUGGUGGGGACCAAUGAUGAAGUUGAUCUUGGGACUCUUUCAAGGGAUGGCUGGAAUCGCUCCACUUUUCUAAAAACCAUGCUGCUGCUUGACAGCUCUACCUUAAAAGGGAAACUAAAGAGAAAGCAUCACCGCUGCCCCAGUUGCUGGACCAACUGUUCCGCUCGGACAUUCAAAUUGAGUGCAACAAUUCCCGAGACUCUAUGGCAGAGGCGAACGACAACGGCAUAUCUGUGGACUUAGUGCCAGCUGCGCUGCCCGAUGAGGGUGCCAGUACAAGCGAAGCCAGCGAGCGCUUGCGCCGUAACAGAUGCACAUAUUCUUGUCCAUAUUGCCCUUAUGUUGCACGAAGUUCACACUUGACUACACACAUGCGUGUCCAUACUGGUGAGAGACCGUUCAGGUGCAACGUCUGUUUAGCAUGCUUCACCACGAAAUCAAACCUUUCACGGCACUUGAGGGCUCAACCAUGUGGGAAAUUUCCAUUAUCUAUCUGCAAUUAGCAGUUCGAAACCAAGCAGCAUCUUCAUGACCGUUUUCAUGAACUUUUGCAAUUCAUAACCACUCCUCCAUACACUUGGGUGUUCUACCCUGCCUGUGUCCAAUGUGCUUGUGAUCCUUCAUACAGAAGAGCUUUCUAUUUAACCACAUGCAUCUGAUGCACAAGAAGUGAAUAGCUUGAUGUGUUGCAACUCCUUGAAACAAGGGGGACUGUAUUUGGUGGCAGCAAGGCAUACUCCCACAGUCAUCAACUGCGUGUGUGUGUGGAUAGCAAAGAAGGCACAAGUUUAGAACAAGCAUUUUUGUGGGGUGGUUGUGUAUUUGCAUAAGAUUUCAAAAAGUACCUUUAGAGACCGCUAACCAAAAAAAUGUUUAUUGGAAAACAUACUAGAAAACCGCUUAUGUGAAGAAGUGUGGUACUUGAAGCUGUGCUGUGAGGACACCUUCGAUUGUAGUGCAAUAUUUUACUGUGCCAGGCAGUUAUAAAGUAGGAAAUGGUCACUGUUUCUGUAAUUUAAUGAGUCCAUUACACUCAUUAGUGUUUAGAUGCACUGACACAGAUGUCACUUAUGUUGUGGCUGUUUGGAACUUACGUUUGUGGGAAGAUUGUGUUUUGCCAUGUGGUGGCAUUGAUGUCAAUUUUGAAUUGCACCACUUAUAAAGUUCUGUGUACACAUGCACAAGAGAUCAAAAUGGAUGCCUGUCAAAGCCAAAGUGUUUACUAUUGGCUUGCCAACACUGAUAGAAAGCACGCUGUGCUGCUGUGAGGAAAUGGUUGAAAGCAUAUUGAAAGAGUUUCACUGAAACAUUCUCAGAACUGAUGAAAGAAGACUGAGAAAUAAAGCAAAGAUAUUAAAGUGUG